CACUGUUAGUGGAGGUGCGCUGAUAGGUUUUCUGUUGUUAUAAAGCAGUGCUUCUCACACUUGAGCAUCACUACAGAUUCUGCUUUAAUAGUGUUGGGAUUCCCAUAGGAUGUCAUUGCUGCUUGUCCAGGGACUACCUGCUGAAGCAAAGUUUUGAGGUUUUAUGAUGAACAGAAUAAAAUGUAUUGUCUUCUCAUGCAGCAGGAGGCCCUGCUGUGCCCUCAGACACCCCCUUCCCCCCUACAAUUGAUUGAUUUUCACAUCUUGAGCCAGUUUUGCAACCUUUGAAUAAACCCCAUUUGAUUAUGGCA